CACGUAGGGUGCGAGCGUUGUCCGGAUUUAUUGGGCGUAAAGCGCUCGUAGGCGGUUCUCUAAGUCCGGCGUGAAAACUCUGGGCUCAACUCAGAGACGCCACUUGAUACUGUCGUGACUUGAAUCUGGUAGGGGAGUGUGGAAUUCCCGGUGUAGCGGUGAAAUGCGCAGAUAUCGGGAGGAACACCAGUGGCGAAGGCGGCACUCUGGGCCAGUAUUGACGCUGAGGAGCGAAAGCGUGGGGAGCGAACAGG
rnacentral:rRNA from 1 species